rnacentral:snoRNA from 1 species
UGGACAGUGAUGAGCACAUGCUGUGAAUCAAGGACUAUGAUUAAUCAAAUCCUGUGUUUCUGAGUUCCAUA